rnacentral:rRNA from 1 species
UACGUAGGGGGCAAGCGUUGUCCGGAUUUAUUGGGCGUAAAGAGCGUGUAGGCGGCCACACAGGUCUGCUGUGAAAACUCGAGGCUCAACCUCGAGAUGUCGGCGGAAACCGUGUGGCUAGAGUCCGGAAGAGGAGAGUGGAAUUCCUGGUGUAGCGGUGAAAUGCGCAGAUAUCAGGAAGAACACCUAUGGCGAAGGCAGCUCUCUGGGACGGUACUGACGCUGAGACGCGAAAGCGUGGGGAGCGAACAGG